rnacentral:rRNA from 1 species
AGUGAACGCUGGCGGUAGGCCUAACACAUGCAAGUCGAACGGCAGCACAGUAAGAGCUUGCUCUUACGGGUGGCGAGUGGCGGACGGGUGAGGAAUACAUCGGAAUCUACUUUUUCGUGGGGGAUAACGUAGGGAAACUUACGCUAAUACCGCAUACGACCUACGGGUGAAAGCAGGGGAUCUUCGGACCUUGCGCGAUUGAAUGAGCCGAUGUCGGAUUAGCUAGUUGGGGGGGGAAAGGCCCACCAAGGCGACGAUCCGUAGCUGGUCUGAGAGGAUGAUCAGCCACACUGGAACUGAGACACGGUCCAGACUCCUACGGGAGGCAGCAGUGGGGAAUAUUGGACAAUGGGCGCAAGCCUGAUCCAGCCAUACCGCGUGGGUGAAGAAGGCCUUCGGGUUGUAAAGCCCUUUUGUUGGGAAAGAAAAGCAGCAGGUUAAUACCCCGCUGUUCUGACGGUACCCAAAGAAUAAGCACCGGCUAACUUCGUG